AACGAACGCUGGCGGCAGGCCUAACACAUGCAAGUCGAGCGCCCUCUUCGGAGGGAGCGGCGGACGGGUUAGUAACGCGUGGGAACGUGCCCAGAUCUAAGGAAUAGCCACUGGAAACGGUGAGUAAUACCUUAUACGCCCUUCGGGGGAAAGAUUUAUCGGAUUUGGAUCGGCCCGCGUUAGAUUAGAUAGUUGGUGGGGUAACGGCCUACCAAGCCUACGAUCUAUAGCUGGUUUUAGAGGAUGAUCAGCAACACUGGGACUGAGACACGGCCCAGACUCCUACGGGAGGCAGCAGUGGGGAAUCUUGGACAAUGGGGGCAACCCUGAUCCAGCCAUGCCGCGUGAACGAUGAAGGCCUUAGGGUUGUAAAGUUCUUUCAACGGUGAAGAUAAUGACGGUAGCCGUAGAAGAAACCCCGG
rnacentral:rRNA from 1 species